rnacentral:lncRNA from 1 species
CGAGAAGUACCGACACCGCUACAUUUACUCUCAUCAGAGCGGCUAUGGGUGGUACUGUUUCUUGUGUGAGAUCAAGUGAGCAUCCCACCGCUGUAAGUGAGAUCACCAUUGGUUCAACUCACUAACUCUUACCUCUUGUUCCGUUCCUAAUUUAGUCCUAUCGUAUGUUGUAGUUGAGAUCUACCGUGUGCCGUGGCAAGGAUUUAUAGCUCCGUGAUCUGUGUGGAUUUUUUUAGUAGUGUUUUUAGUUGGUGGGUAGGGGUUGUGUGGUGGCUUUGUUGGAUUUAGCGGUGACGGAGGUUAUGUUGGAUCUGAUGGUGGCUAUGAUUUUAUUGGUGGCUAUGAUUGAAGUUGAAAAUGGUGGUUUGCUAGAAGUGACGGUGUUGAUUUUCUUGAAAUGGUGAUGUUGCUAUCAGAAGGUGGUGGUGGUGGC